UAGCUCAGUUGGUAAAGAAUCUGCCUGCAAUGCAGGAGACCUGGGUUCGAUUCCUGG
rfam:Ovis aries breed Texel chromosome 2, whole genome shotgun sequence.